rnacentral:rRNA from 1 species
GACGAACGCUGGCGGCGUGCUUAACACAUGCAAGUCGAGCGGUAAGGCCCUUUCGGGGGUACACGAGCGGCGAACGGGUGAGUAACACGUGGGUGACCUGCCUCUAGCUCUGGGAUAAGCCCGGGAAACUGGGUCUAAUACUGGAUAUGACUCCAUGACGCAUGUUGUGGGGUGGAAAGCCUCGUGCGGCUAGAGAUGGGCCCGCGGCCUAUCAGCUUGUUGGUGGGGUGAUGGCCUACCAAGGCGACGACGGGUAGCCGGCCUGAGAGGGCGACCGGCCACACUGGGACUGAGACACGGCCCAGACUCCUACGGGAGGCAGCAGUGGGGAAUCUUGCGCAAUGGGCGAAAGCCUGACGCAGCGACGCCGCGUGA